GAAAGUAAAUUAGAUUGUCGCUGCUAACGAUAAUUAGAAUUAUGUUAAAUGAUUCUACUUUCU
rnacentral:tRNA from 1 species